GGAAAACACCGAUCUAGUGCCAUACCCUCUGAAGUAAGGCCUUCAGCUCUGGAAGAAGAGACUAGCUCCCAGCUCAACAGCAGGCUUCCUGCUGCUAGGUCAUUACUCAGCAGCACGACAUCACUGCAGCCCAUUAGACCAGAGACACAAAAACACGAUUUGCACAGAGCCUACACAUGUAGCUGAGCAGGAACCACAAGCCUAGACAGAGAAGGCAGCGUGAACCAAAUCAGUCUUGAAGAAGACAACAAGGCUAAAGAAAACACUGUUAAAGAUGCACUUGAAAGCUGCGUUUCAUCUUGAAGAGCUCUUGCCUCAUCCUUGAGCACAUGCUUUACAUUAUCACUGGAAACCCGCUAGGAAACCACCCCUGAUGCUCACAACACACCACCAAGACCGCGUCUCGGCUGAAACCGGUUAACAUCUUAACCCGGGGAGGGCCCAACUGUAUCCCCACAGAGUAAUUCAUAAUGGAUGGAGGAAGUAUGCCAGAAAAAGCAGGGCUUUGUGAAGACGUUCUGCCUGUUUCUGUCAUGAUUUCCUGCUGAAGCUUCAAGGAAAUAAACUCACUAGGACUUCUGCAACAUAUUUGGCUGACAGCUAGUAUGCAACUCCUUGUCUUCAAUCUAACAGUCUUGCUGAUGCACAGGAUGAGAGGCAAGUGAUCUUUCUGGGGUCAUUACUGUUGCUGGCAACACAGAUUAUUACCUUUCUGUUUUGCUGAUCUGCACAUAAGCAAAUUAUGUCAUUCCUCUCUGCAGCAAGCAGCAGCCUCUCCUGACUGUUUUUUGGUGUGUUUGUGCUGAAGCAGCUCUAGUUUGGGUUUGGCAUGGGAGAUGCAAGGGCGUCCAUUUGACUAACGCAUUUUGCAGUUUCACUAAAUAUCAGAGAAGAAAGCGACAAGUGUUUGAAAAACACGGAGUUGUAAAAAUUCUGAGAAAGAAAUCUGUCACGUACCUGGCCUUUGGAGGAAAUAAUGUUGCUCUGGAUAGCAGGAUUUUCAGCCUGCAUUGUUAUACUUAUUAAAGGAGGAGGAGACUAUUACAGGAACCAGAAAAAUGCAUUUUCCCCUAACUUGCCUGCUCUCAUUUGCAGAAAGUAUGAUCUUUUUCCACAAAACCUCAUCUGCUAACACAUGUUCUGAUAAGACAGGUGAAAACC